rnacentral:lncRNA from 1 species
CUGGUGGAGAUGGAGAUAACUAAUUGCCUAUUUGGUCCGGGGUUCGAUUCCUGGGCAUGUUGUUCUUGGUAUUUUUAGCAUUUUUUGUGACUCUCUCAUAUUUCUCUUAAUCUGUUUAUUUAUUUUUUAUUUGUAUUGUAACUUAAUUGAUUUUUUUUUCUUUCUUUGAGAUUUAUGUAAAAUAUAAUUUUUUAGGUGAGGUAUGUAUAAAUCAUGAUAAAUCAUAUUGGCUUUGAUAAAAAGAAAAACUAUUCAAAAAAAUAAUAACGAUAAAUAUCGCAUAAUAACAUAAAUUUGGUAUCCUUUAAUUGUAUCCUUCUUACAAUA